GACGUAGGGGGCGAGCGUUGUCCGGAUUUAUUGGGCGUAAAGAGCUCGUAGACGGCUCAGAAAGUCGGGUGUGAAACCUCCAGGCUCAACCUGGAGACGCCACCUGAUACUGCUGUGGCUAGAGUCCGGUAGGGGAACACGGAAUUCCCGGUGUAGCGGUGAAAUGCUUAGAUAUCGGGAGGAACACCAGUGGCGAAGGCGGUGUUCUGGGCCGGAACUGACGCUGAGGAGCGAAAGCGUGGGUAGCAAACAGG
rnacentral:rRNA from 1 species